GGAAGUGUUUGAGGAGAUCGCC
rnacentral:misc_RNA from 1 species